rnacentral:rRNA from 1 species
AACGAACGCUGGCGGCAUGCCUAACACAUGCAAGUCGAACGAGACCUUCGGGUCUAGUGGCGCACGGGUGCGUAACGCGUGGGAACCUGCCCUUAGGUUCGGAAUAACUCCCCGAAAGGGGUGCUAAUACCGGAUAAUGUCUUCGGACCAAAGAUUUAUCGCCUUUGGAUGGGCCCGCGUUGGAUUAGCUAGUUGGUAGGGUAAAAGCCUACCAAGGCGACGAUCCAUAGCUGGUCUGAGAGGAUGAUCAGCCACACUGGGACUGUGACACGGCCCAGACUCCGACGGGAGGCAGCAGUGGGGAAUAUUGGACAAUGGGCGAAAGCCUGAUCCAGCAAUGCCGCGUGAGUGAUGAAGGCCUUAGGGUUGUAAAGCUCUUUUACCCGGGAUGAUAAUGACAGUACCGGGAGAAUAAGCUCCGGCUAACUCCGU